rnacentral:tRNA from 1 species
GCAACCGUAGUGUAAUGGUAGCACAUUAGCUUGCCAAGUUUUUAGUAAGGGUUCGAAUCCCUUUGGUUGCUCCA